UACGUAGGGUGCAAGCGUUGUCCGGAUUUACUGGGCGUAAAGAGCGCGCAGGCGGUCGUUCAAGUCGCGUGUGAAAGCCCCCGGCUCAACUGGGGAGGGUCACGCGAUACUGAUCGACUCGAAGGCAGGAGAGGGUAGUGGAAUUCCCGGUGUAGUGGUGAAAUGCGUAGAUAUCGGGAGGAACACCAGUGGCGAAGGCGACUACCUGGCCUGUUCUUGACGCUGAGGCGCGAAAGCUA
rnacentral:rRNA from 1 species